UACCAGCACCCCGAGUGGUCGGGACGAUUAUUGGGCCUAAAGCAUCCGUAGCCGGUUCUGCAAGUCCCCCGUUAAAUCCAGCUGCUCAACAGAUGGGCCGCGGAGGAUACUACAGAGCUAGGAGGCAGGAGAGGCAAGCGGUACUCAGUGGGUAGGGGUAAAAUCCGUUGAUCCAUUGAAGAACCACCAGUGGCGAAGGCGGCUUGCCAGAAUGCGCUCGACGGUGAGGGAUGAAAGCUGGGGGAGCAAACCGG
rnacentral:rRNA from 1 species